UACAGAGACUGCAAGCGUUAUUCGGAUUCACUGGGCGUAAAGGGUGCGCAGGCGGCCGUGUGUGUGAGGCGUGAAAGCCCGGGGCUUAACCCCGGAAUUGCACCUCAAACUACAUGGCUAGAGCAUUGGAGAGGGUAGCGGAAUUCACGGUGUAGCAGUGAAAUGCGUAGAUAUCGUGAGGAACACCAGAGGCGAAGGCGGCUACCUGGACAAUUGCUGACGCUCAGGCACGAAAGCGUGGGGAGCAAACAGG
rnacentral:rRNA from 1 species